ensembl:lncRNA novel transcript
ACGCCCCCAUGCAUCCCCACCCCCGCCCCUCCGGACGGCUUACUUACCUCAUACGCAGCUCAUCUUAAACCAAUAGAAUCGCUCGGUGGACGAGAGUGUCUGACUCAGAUAUCUACCUCGGAGGGAGUUUCUGCUACUUUAGGGAAUUAUUGACUGGGCUUUGGGGUUGAACUUUUUUUUUUUUAAAGAAAGAAAAAGAAACCCUGGGAUCCAUCUGUUUUUUUUGUUGUUGUUGUUGUUUUUGUUGUUGUUGGUGGUGGUGGUGGUGGUGGUUCUUAAUUUUUAAUUUAGUUUGGGGAAGUAGCUUGUUUUUUUUUUUAUAAAUAUGUUGAUUUCUUGUCUUUUUUUUUUUUUAUUUCUUACUUUCCCAUAUUAGGGGUGAUAGCCAAAGGGGUUCUGGUAAGAGAAAGGGGGACAAACAGAACUGGUAAAGAGGCCCCCCUGGCUCCAGGCCUGUCCAUCAGGAAGUAAAUUUUACAGGGCACCAAGCUUUGCCCCCUAAAAUCCCUUAGGUGUUCUUUGUUCAUGCAGGCAGGUUUCUGCCGCAUUUGAUGUGGAGGCAUGGGCCGGGGGCAGUUCUCUCCUCACUUGUAAACUUGUGUAGUUUCACAGAAAAAAAACAAAAUGCAGUUUUAAAUAAAGAAAUUUCUUUUUUCCCUGGG